CCUUCGAUAGCUCAGUUGGUAGAGCGGGGGACUGUAGAUUUAUAAUUGUGAUCCCUAGGUCGCUGGUUCGAAUCCGCCUCGAAAAA
rnacentral:tRNA from 1 species